rnacentral:ribozyme from 1 species
AGAAAGAGAGAGAGAGAAAGAAUCAGAAGAAGAAAGAGGUUGUAAACUCGGUAAUCUUUUCUUUCUCACUCUCUUUAUUUCAUCUUUACUUAUUUUCUCACUCUCUCUCGCAUUUUCUGUCUCUCUCUCUCUCUCUCUAUGUGUGUCAGAGAGAGAGAGAGAGAGAGAUGAAGG